CAUUUUUUUCAUUCUUUCUUCUUCAACCGUGGGAAAGAACUGAAAAUGGCAGCCAUGGAUGAGCUCCAUUCAGCCAAGCUUCUAUGGCUUAUAUAGAUGAUGAAAAUUGAGACUUGGACCUAGAACGGAAAGAAAUCGAUUUAUGGACGAGUAUGUCCUUUUCACCUUUGUGGUAUCAAGAGUUUCCAGCUUAGCUCGGGUUGGAGGCCAUCAGAGAUAUUAUCACCCUAUCGAGUUAACGUUAUCGGAGUAAGUAAACUCAAGUGAUUCGAGUCUAUGGCAUGUAUAGGGUUUUAAUGUGAGUAUGUAAUAUUAUGAUUUAGCCAAAGGCAUUGGCUUGUUAUUAAGGUAGUAGUAGUCAUGUAAAUUGGCCUAUGUCGGCUAAUGACAUUAUGGGCCCAUAUGAUUAUUCUUAUGCAUGUAUGUUAUUAUCUCUUGUGAUGUGGCUUACAACAUGUAUGCCUAGAGAUUGAAUUGAGAUUCAUUGAUGAGCUAGUAACUAAUGCAGGAUUAAGUGAUUGGUAAAUAGUUAAUAA